UUCCGGUUGAUCCUGCCGGACCUGACUGCUAUCGGAUUGAUACUAAGCCAUGCGAGUCUUUGUAGCAAUACAAGGCGGACUGCUCAGUAACACGUAGUCAAUCUACCCUAUGGAUGGGGAUAACCUCGGGAAACUGAGAAUAAUACCCAAUAGAUCAUAAUGCCUGGAAUGGUUUAUGGUUCAAAUGAUUUAUCGCCGUAGGAUGGGACUGCGGUCUAUCAGCUUGUUGGUGAGGUAAUGGCCCACCAAGGCUAUAACAGAUACGGGCUCUGAGAGGAGACGCCCGGAGAUGGGUACUGAGACACGGACCCAGGCCCUAUGGGGCGCAGCAGGCGAGAAAACUUUGCAAUGUGCGAAAGCACGACAAGGUUAAUCCGAGUGUUUUCUGCUAAAGAAAUCUUUUGUCAGUCGUAAAACCACUAACGAAUAAGGGGUGGGCAAGUUCUGGUGUCAGCCGCCGCGGUAAAACCAGCACCUCAAGUGGUCAGGAGGAUUAUUGGGCCUAAAGCAUCCGUAGCCGGCUGUAUAAGUUUUCGGUUAAAUCCAUGUGCUCAACACAUGGGCUGCCGGGAAUACUGUACAGCUAGGGAGUGGGAGAGGUAGACGGUACUCGGUAGGAAAGGGUAAAAUCUUUUGAUCUAUCGAUGACCACCUGUGGCGAAGGCGGUCUACCAGAACACGUUCGACGGUGAGGGAUGAAAGCUGGGGGAGCAAACCGGAUUAGAUACCCGGGUAGUCCCAGCUGUAAACUAUGCAAACUAAGUGAUGCAUUGGCUUGUGGCCAGUGCAGUGCCUCAGGGAAGCCGUUAAGUUUGCCGCCUGGGAAGUACGUACGCAAGUAUGAAACUUAAAGGAAUUGGCGGGGGAGCACCACAAGGGGUGAAGCCUGCGGUUCAAUUGGAGUCAACGCCGGGA
rnacentral:rRNA from 1 species